rnacentral:rRNA from 1 species
UACGUAGGUGGCAAGCGUUGUCCGGAUUUACUGGGCGUAAAGAGCGCGCAGGCGGUCGUUCAAGUCGCGUGUGAAAGCCCCCCGGCUCAACUGGGGAGGGUCACGCGAUACUGAUCGACUCGAAGGCAGGAGAGGGAAGUGGAAUUCCCGGUGUAGUGGUGAAAUGCGUAGAUAUCGGGAGGAACACCAGUGGCGAAGGCGACUUCCUGGCCUGUUCUUGACGCUGAGGCGCGAAAAGCUAGGGGAGCAAACGGG